rnacentral:rRNA from 1 species
GACGAACGCUGGCGGCGUGCUUAACACAUGCAAGUCGAACGGAAAGGCCCCUUUGGGGGUACUCGAGUGGCGAACGGGUGAGUAACACGUGAGUAACCUGCCCUUGACUUCGGGAUAACUUCAGGAAACUGGGGCUAAUACCGGAUAGGAAUCCUUGCUGCAUGGUGGGGGUUGGAAAGCUUCGGCGGUUUUGGAUGGACUCGCGGCUUAUCAGCUUGUUGGUGGGGUAGUGGCUUACCAAGGCUUUGACGGGUAGCCGGCCUGAGAGGGCGACCGGCCACAUUGGGACCGAGAUACGGCCCAGACUCCUACGGGAGGCAGCAGUGGGGAAUAUUGCACAAUGGGCGGAAGCCUGAUGCAGCAACGCCGCGUGCGGGAUGACGGCCUUCGGGUUGUAAACCGCUUUCAGCAGGGGCGAAGCUUGUGGUGACGGUACCUGCAGAAGAAGCACCGGCUAACUACGUG